CCCGAUGUUGCCCAGCGAGGAUCCUGUUUUCACUCUAUUUCAGCUCCAUAUUUGUUGCUUCCAAUAAGGAAAAGGGUCAGCGGAAAGGAACCAAAGGAGCAGCGUACGCCAACAUCACAGGUGUAAGGACUUGAGCAACGUAGGACCCCAGAAUGUACACGAGCAGGCAGCAUUACGG